UACGUAGGGGGCAAGCGUUGUCCGGAAUCAUUGGGCGUAAAGAGCGUGUAGGCGGCUUGGUAAGUCCGCUGUGAAAGUCCAGGGCUCAACCCUGGAAUGCCGGUGGAAACUGUCAGGCUCGAGUCCGGAAGAGGCGAGUGGAAUUCCUGGUGUAGCGGUGAAAUGCGCAGAUAUCAGGAGGAACACCAAUGGCGAAGGCAGCUCGCUGGGACGGUACUGACGCUGAGACGCGAAAGCGUGGAGAGCAAACAGG
rnacentral:rRNA from 1 species